rnacentral:lncRNA from 1 species
CUUAGACUCAUCAACAAACCUAUCUGAGGUCAUCAGCACCACCAGCUAAGCCUAGCCUAGGUCAGCUGAAACUAUUCAUGAAAUAAAAUUUAUCGCUGUACUCCAUUGGAGUUUUGUGGUUGUCUCUUACACAGAAAAAGCUGUGUCACUCUGAAAUAGUUUUCUAACUCACUAUUAGAAAAAGUAAAGGUCUUUAAAAAGCUUACUUACUAGGCUGAAUAUGAUCUACAUUUCCAUUACUUCUCUCCAUUUUCAUAUUCCCUUACAUUCUCCUUUGCUUUCUCCAUUCCAGCAUCUUUGCCUUUGUAUUCCCUAGGAUCUCUCCAUUUAUUAUUAUUCACCAUGCUUGGAAUGGUAUUUCACAGAUUUCUAAGUAUCUCACAAUCUUUCCCUCUCUAUCUUUCCCUGACAACCUUAUAAUUUCAACACUCCCCCUAAAAGAUAUUUUCUUUCAUUCCUAUUUCUCUUUCUUUUAUAGCACUUCCCUACCAACUAACAUUACUACAUCUAGUUUUAAUAGCUUUAUAUAGCUCACAUGCCAUAAAAUGCACUCAUUUGCAAUGAACAAUUCAAUUUUUUUAUAUAUUCACAGCUAUAUGUUCAACCAUCACCUCAAAAAACUACAACUGUCCUAUUCUUUUAUUCACCUCAACCCUGAGCAACCACUGGCCAACUUUCUAUCUCCAUAGAUGUUCAUAUUCUGGAUUUUCAUAUGAAUAGAGUCUAUAAUAUGUGGUCUUUUUGACUGCCUUCUUCCACUUAGCAUAAUGUUUUCAAGGUUCCUCAAUGUUGUAGCAUGUAUUGGUGUUAUAGUUUGGAUCUUAAGUGACCCUCAAAGAUCCAUGUGCUAAAGGAUUAUUGCCUAUGAUGGUGGUAUUGGAGAUGGUAGAAUCUUUAAGGGGUAGGACCUACUUGGAAGUCAUUAGGUC